rnacentral:rRNA from 1 species
UACGUAGGGGACCAAGCGUUGUUCGGAUUUACUGGGCGUAAAGGGCGCGUAGGCGGCAUGACAAGUCACUUGUGAAAUCUCUGGGCUUAACCCAGAACGGCCAAGUGAUACUGUCGCGCUAGAGUGCAGAAGGGGCAAUCGGAAUUCUCGGUGUAGCGGUGAAAUGCGUAGAUAUCGAGAGGAACACCAGAGGUGAAGACGGGUUGCUGGGCUGACACUGACGCUGAGGCGCGAAAGCCAGGGGAGCAAACGGG